rnacentral:ncRNA from 1 species
CGUUUCCGUGCGCGGGCCGCCGGGCCGCGGGCGCCAGUCGCCCGCGCGUCCCGCCGGGCCGGUUUUCGGGACCGGAGGUAAUGAUCAACAGAGACGGGCGGGGGCAUUCGUACCGAGACGUUAGAGGUGAAAUUCUUGGAUCGUCUCGAGACGAACUGACGCGAAAGCAUUUGCCAAGUACGUUCUCGUAUGAUCAAGAACGAAAGUUAGAGGUUCGAAGGCGAUCAGAUACCGCCCUAGUUCUAACUGUAAACGAUGCCAGCUAGCGAUCCGCCGGCGUUUCAUUAACGACCCGGCGGGCAGCUUCCGGGAAACCGAAGCUUUUCGGUUCCGGGGGAAGUAUGAUUGCAAAGUUGAAACUUAAAGGAAUUGACGGAAGGGCACCACCAGGAGUGGAGCCUGCGGCUUAAUUUGACUCAACACGGGAAACUUCACCAGGCCCGGACACCGGAAAGAUUGACAGAUUGAGAGCUCUUUCUUGAUUCGGUGGGUGGUGGUGCAUGGCCGUUCUUAGUUGGUGGAGCGAUCUGUCUGGUUAAUUCCGAUAACGAACGAGACUCUGUCCUGCUAACUAGGCGGGUAAACCCGGGUCGGCGUGUGCGCGGCGCUGGCGGUUUCGGCCGUCAGUGUUCGCGUACCCGUCGGCUCGGCCCGGUAUCCCCGAACGCGUUCGCCCGUCGUCCACGGCGGUCGUCGGGCGCGGCCGCGCCAUCCGCGUCCCGGCGUUCGGCGGGCGUAUGUCGGCCGGGGGGCAACCUCCGGUCGGCCUGCGUCCGUCGUGCGUCGGGCUCCGUGGUGAAGCGCGCCGUGUUCGCGGCCGUCGCCGGCGGAUCACGAUACGUUACUAGGGCUACCGCCGGCUCCCAGGAGCUUAAACUCUUCUUAGAGGGACAGGCGGCGGACGAACAUAGCCGCACGAGACUGAGCGAUAACAGGUCUGUGAUGCCCUUAGAUGUUCUGGGCCCGCACGCGCGCUACACUGAAAGAAUCAGCGUGUUUAACAAUCCUGGGCCGACAGGCUUCCGGGUAACCCGCUGAACCUCCUUCGUG